rnacentral:misc_RNA from 1 species
UUAAGUUCAGCGGGUAUUCCUACCUGAUCCGAGGUCAACCUUGAGAAAGAUUGGGGUGUUUUCACGGCCGUGGACGCGCCGCGCUCCCGUUGCGAGCGUGCAAGCUACUGCGCAGGGGAAGGCUGCGGCGUGACCGCCACUGGAUUUCGGGGCCGGCAGCCGCUAUGGUAGCGGCGGGCCGAUCCCCAACGCCGGGCCCC